rnacentral:rRNA from 1 species
AUUGAACGCUGGCGGCAGGCCUAACACAUGCAAGUAGGGCGAGCGGCGGACGGGUGAGUAAUAUAUGGGGGUAUGCCUGAUGGAGGGGAGUAACUACUGGAAACGGUAGCUAAUACCGCAUACCAUCAGAUGAACCCAUAUGGGAGUAGCUUGUAGGUAAGGUAACGGCUUACCUAGGCGACGAUCCCUAGCUGGUCUGAGAGGAGGAUCAGCCAAACGGGGACUGAGAAACGGCCCAGACUCCUACGGGAGGCAGCAGUGGGGAAUAUUGCACAAUGGGCGAAAGCCUGAUGCAGCCAUGCCGCGUGUAUGAAGAAGGCCUUCGGGUUGUAAAGUACUUUCAGUCGGGAGGCGUUACCGACAGAAGAAGCACCGGCUAACUCCGUGCCAGCCGCCGCGGUAAUAC